rnacentral:snRNA from 1 species
ACCAAAUGUUGCACUUGAUGUAAA